GACGAGCCCGCGGCGGAUUAGCUUGUUGGUGGGGUAACGGCCUACCAAGGCUGCGAUCCGUAGCUGGUCUGAGAGGACGAUCAGCCACACUGGGACUGAGACACGGCCCAGACUCCUACGGGAGGCAGCAGUGGGGAAUAUUGCGCAAUGGGCGAAAGCCUGACGCAGCGACGCCGCGUGAGGGACGAAGGCCUUCGGGUUGUAAACCUCUUUCAGCAGGGACGAAGCGAAAGUGACGGUACCUGCAGAAGAAGCACCGGCCAACUACGUGCCAGCAGCCGCGGUAAUACGUAGGGUGCAAGCGUUGUCCGGAAUUAUUGGGCGUAAAGAGCUCGUAGGCGGUCUGUUGCGUCGGCUGUGAAAACCCGGGGCUCAACCCCGGGCCUGCAGCCGAUACGGGCAGACUAGAGUUCGGCAGGGGAGACUGGAAUUCCUGGUGUAGCGGUGAAAUGCGCAGAUAUCAGGAGGAACACCGGUGGCGAAGGCGGGUCUCUGGGCCGAUACUGACGCUGAGGAGCGAAAGCGUGGGGAGCGAACAGGAUUAGAUACCCUGGUAGUCCACGCCGUAAACGUUGGGCGCUAGGUGU
rnacentral:rRNA from 1 species